CCCUUAGAUGUUCUGGGCGGCCCGCGCACUACAUUGGCACUAGCAAAGAGAUCCUAGAUUGAAUUCUUUGGGGUAUUCUUCUAAAUGGUGUCGUGACUGGGAUAAAUCCUUGUAAUUAUUGGUUUUGAACGAGGAAUUCCUUGUAAUCGCGGUUUAUCAGCUCGCGUUGAAUGCGUCCCUGCCCUUCGUACACACCGCCCGUCGCUCCUACCGAUGGAUCGUCCGGUGAAGCUCACGGAGUGACUGUUCACGCAACGGUUUACGAAGUGAAAUGGACCUCACGAUUUAGAGGAAGGAGAAGUCGUAACA
rnacentral:rRNA from 1 species